AUUUCAUUGAGCGUUCCAGUAUUGCUUGUAAUAAAAUACCAUGCUUAUUUAACGCUAUAGAUCUGGAAAGAGAGAAGGAUAAGGAAGUCAUAGAGGCUGUGCUUAAAAGUAUUCGUCAUCAGAUUGAUAAUUUUUCAAAUCCAACAAGAACGCAGGAAGGACGUAAUGAGGAGGUUACCACUGAGGUCACGGCAGUGCUGAACGAUAUUUUGGACCAGAUGGACUACAGGACUCAUAAUCUGGAAAGAGAGGUGGACUACAGGACUGAAAGUGAGCAUCAGGCCAAAAAAUAUGAAAAUAUUUUAACAAGCUUGCCAGUAGUGCUUGCAAUGAACCACCUUGCUGACUUCAUACUACAGAUCUGGAAACAGAGCAGGACAAAGAGAAGGAAAUAGAGCAGGACAUAAAGGCUGUGCUUAACAGCAUUCUUGUUCAGGUCGAUGCUACUUCAAGUAUAUAUGUGGAUGUGGCUGUGCCAUCCCUUACUGAUGCUGAUGAACCACUUUCAUACUUCAACAUAAAAGAUCUGUGCAUUUCCAAUAAUAACAUUACCAAUAGAUCUGGAAAGAGAGAAGGAUAAGGAAGCCAUAAAGGCUGUGCUUAAAAGUAUUCAUCAUCAGAUUGGUGCUUUUUCAGGUGAGUAUGAGCAGAGCUCAUUUCAGCUGUGCCAUCCCUUACAGCUGUUGACAAAGCACUUUCAUAAAUCCCUAUGUUCAUACUUGAGUACAAAAUAAGUGUACAUUUUCAUUGGCAAUAUUGCAUUCAAACAGAGCAAGCAACGGCCCAGAAUACAAAUAGUGAACGUGUGACAGUGAGUUCCCAAAGCACCACUAGAAAGGAGGUGGAGAAAAAGAACAAAAAAGUGGCUUUGUGGCAGUAGCAGCAGAGAAAACCAACCAGAAGAAACAGGAACCCUCACAGGGUAAGUAGAGGACGUGAUGUCACUCAUUUGCAGAUAUGUUUUGCUUCUUUUGCUUUUAGAUUGCUUGUAAUAAAAUACCAUGCUUGUUUGAAACUAUAGAUCUGGAAAGAGAGAAGGACAGAGAGAAAGAUAGUGAUUCACAGUAUUUGUCAUCAGAUUGAUGCUUUUUCAAGUGAGUAUGAGCAGAGCAUUUCAGGAAAGGAAAAUCUCAUAUACAGAGAAGUAGGUUCAAGUGGCUUUGAAUGUGGCAGUAGCAGCAGAGAAAACCAACCAGAAGGACCAGGAACCUUCAAAGGGUAAGGAGAGGACAUGGUGCCACUCAUUUGCAGAUAUGUCAUGAAGAAAAAUCUCAUAUACAGAGAAGUAGGUUCAGAGAAAUACUGUCGUUUUACACCACAAUUUCUAUUAUGAAAAGAUACAGGGCACAGCAGAGAAUUAAAAACAAA